rnacentral:rRNA from 1 species
GACGAACGCUGGCGGCGUGCUUAACACAUGCAAGUCGAACGGAAAGGCCCUGCUUUUGUGGGGUGCUCGAGUGGCGAACGGGUGAGUAACACGUGAGUAACCUGCCCUUGACUUUGGGAUAACUUCAGGAAACUGGGGCUAAUACCGGAUAGGAGCUCCUGCUGCAUGGUGGGGGUUGGAAAGUUUCGGCGGUUGGGGAUGGACUCGCGGCUUAUCAGCUUGUUGGUGGGGUAGUGGCUGACCAAGGCUUUGACGGGUAGCCGGCCUGAGAGGGUGACCGGCCACAUUGGGACUGAGAUACGGCCCAGACUCCUACGGGAGGCAGCAGUGGGGAAUAUUGCACAAUGGGCGGAAGCCUGAUGCAGCAACGCCGCGUGCGGGAUGACGGCCUUCGGGUUGUAAACCGCUUUCGCCUGUGACGAAGCGUGAGUGACGGUAAUGGGUAAAGAAGCACCGGCUAACUACGUG